CGUGCAGAUCUCAUUGCCUAUCUGAAGGAAGCAACUGCUUGAUCUUCUUGAUUAGUAUGGAUAUUUAACAAAUGAUGUGACAUUAUUUAAUUGUUCCAAACAAUUUAUUUUUUCAGAGGAAGAGAAAGCUAUCCUCUCCUUGAAAUAAGAUGGAUUAAGGCAAAGAAUCUCUUUGUUUUGAGAGUUGAGAUGAGUAGGGGAGUUGUAAGACCUUUUUCGUAAGGAAUUUCAUGAGCUUCUGA
rnacentral:misc_RNA from 1 species